AGCAAUCGGUGGAUGCCUAGGUAUUGCGUGCCGAUGAAGGACGUACAAGGCCACGAUAGUCGUCGGGGAGCUGCCAAGAAGCUUCGAUCCGGCGGUGUCCGAAUGGAGAAAUCCCGGCCGUGGAAACACGGCUGACCGAGUCUGACUCGGGGGGAACCUGGGGAACUGAAAUAUCUAAGUACCCAGAGGAAAAGAAAACGUAAGUGAUUCCCUUAGUAAGCGAUGAGCGAAAAGGGAAGAGCCCAAACCCCUUGCUUUUUGUUUUUCAGAAAUGUGAUAGUCAAAUUGGUAGAAGAAGGCCCUGGAAUGGGUCGCCAGAGAGCGUGAAAGCCGCGUAAUCGAAAUCAAGUUGGCGUCUAGGAGUAUCCUGAGUAGCUUGGGAGACGGCAAACUCCCGAGUGAACCCGCCCUGACCACAGGGCAAGGCUAAACACACGCAGUGACCGAUAGUGAACUAGUACCGUGAGGGAAAGGUGAAAAGAAGGGUGAGACACCCUGUGAAAUAGUACCUGAAACCGUUUGCUAACAAUCAGACAGAGUCCCGCUCAGCGGGAUGAUGUCGUGCCUAUUGAAGAAUGAACCGGCGAGUUAAGGUGAUUUGCAAGCUUAAGCCAUUGCUAUGGCGGAGGCGGAGUGAAAGCGAGCCUGAAUAGGGCGAUUAGUAAAUCAUUUUAGACCCGAAACUGGACGAUCUACCCAUGGUCAGGGUGAAGACGCAGUAAAAUGCGUCGGAAGCCCGCACCGGUGUAUGUUGCAAGAUGCUCGGAUGAACUGUGGGUCGCGGUAAAAUGCCAAUCGAGUCCAGAGAUAGCUGGCUCUCUCCGAAAUAUAUUUAGGUAUAGGCUUAUGUUUGAGAUAGGCUCCAGGAAACUUCCAGGGGUAGAGCACUGGAAAGGUGUUUAGCGGGAAACCGCUGGCACUUUACCAAACUUCGAAUACUGGAAGUGAAUUCAUGGGACUCAGUACGCCGGGGCUAAGCUCGGCGGGCGAGAGGGAAACAUCCCAGACCCUCGUCUAAGGUCUCUAAUUCUUGAUUAAGUGGGAAAGGAAGUCAUUUUCCUCAGACACCUAGGAGGUCGGCUUAGAAGCAGCCAUCCUUGAAAGAAAGCGUAACAGCUCACUAGCCGAGGGGAGUGGCGUCGAAAAUUUAACGAGGCUAAAAUCAAGAACCGAAGACAGGGACUCGUCGAGUUUAACUCGACGGGUGGUAGGAGAGCGUUGUCUGGGCGGUGAAGGCGUGUUGUGAAGCACGUUGGAGCGCAGACAAGUGUGAAUGCCGGUAUGAGUAGCGAAAGUGGGGUGAGAAUCCCCAUCACCGUAAGUCCAAGGUUUCCACCGCAACGUUCGUCGACGGUGGGUUAGGCGGUCCUAAGGCGAGGCCAAUGGGCGUAGUCGAUGGACAACUGGUUGAUAUUCCAGUCCUUGGUACAGUUUGUUUGAGUUGGGGCGGGACGAAGUUGGCUAACUCGGGCGGUGCGUUGAAGAUGCACACGUUUAAGCUGUUAGCCAGAUUUCCCAGGAAAAUCCGGGAAGUCGUUAAAGCGAGCCGCGAAUAAAAGGCGAGGGUAAUACUGAGCCAAUUCGGGUAACGUCAGCUUCCAAGAAAAACGUCGCAGCGAACCCGUCUAACGGGUCCAGAAACUGUAUCAAUCCGUACCAAUAACCGACACAGGUGGACGAGUCGAGUAGACUCAGGUGAGCGAGAGAACCUUCCUUAAGGAAUUCGGCAAAUUAGCUGGGCGUACGUUCGCAAUAAGCCCAACCCGUCCUACGCACUUUGCUCCGCAAGUGCUUCGGAGCGGCAAGCCUCUUGUUAUUGGGGGCGAAGCCAUUCCGUAGCUGUUUACGAAGUAAAGAGCGUAGGAUGGGUCGCAGAUAAAGAUUAUGGAGGGACUGUUUACCAAAAACACAGGUCUGUGCAAACUCGAAAGAGGAAGUAUACGGGCUGAGGCCUGCCCAGUGCCGGAAGGUUAAUUGCGAGGGUGGUCGCCGCAAGGUGAUUGCCUUCAAUCGAAGCCCCGGUGAACGGCAGCAGUAACUAUAAAUAAUUGUAGUUAUAAAAGUUAGCUAUAACUGUUCUAUGGUAGCGAAGUUCCUUGUCGCUUAAUUGGCGACGCGCACGAAAGGUGUAACCACUCCAUAACUGUCUUGAGGAGGGACUCGGCGAAAUUGAAAUGGCUGUGAAGAUGCGGCCUACUGGCAGCAGGACAAAAAGACCCCGUGAAGCUUUACUAUAGCUUGACACUGAUUUUUCAAAUGGAAUUGUUUAGGAUAGGCGGGAGUACCGGUUUUUAAUCGGCGCAACAGUGAAAUACCGCUCGUUUUGUUUGGGGAAUCUAACUUAAAGUAUCUGGAAACGAUACUAAGGACACUGUUUGGUGGGUAGUUUAUCUGGGGAGGAUGCUUGCUAAAGAGUACCGCAAGCGUACAAAGGUACCCUUGGCUCGGAUGGAAAUCGAGCUAUAAGCGCAAUGGUAUAAGGGUGCUUGACUGUGAGGCAUACAAGCCAAGCAGGUGGGAAACCAGGUCAUAGUGAUCCUCGUGCACUUUGUGGAAGGUGCCGGGCUUAACGAAUAAAAGCUACUCCGGGGAUAACAGAGUAGUCGCGCCUAAGCGUCCCUAGCGUCGGCGCGGUUCGCUACCUCGACGAUGUCGGCUCAGCGCAUCCUGGGGCUGAAGAAGGUCCCAAGGGUCAGUCUGUUCGCCUGUUAAAGCGCUACGCGAGCUGGGUUCAGACCGUCGUAAGACAGGUCGGCCUCUAUCCGCUGCCAGCGUGGGAAUUUUGAGGGAAUUCGUCUCUAGUACGAGAGGACCGAGAUGAGGAAGUCCCUAGUGUGCCAGUUGUUACCGUCAGGUGCAUUGCUGGGUAGCUACACUUCCAACGGAUAAUCGCUGAAAGCAUCUAAGCGAGAAGCCGCACCCAAGAUGAGAAUUCCAUGCUGCGGAGAGAUCCCUGGGAGACUACCAGGUAAUAGGCUGAAGGUGUACGCACGGUAACGUGUUUAGCCGAUCAGUCCUAAUAGAUCGA
rnacentral:rRNA from 1 species